GACGAACGCUGGCGGCGUGCCUAAUACAUGCAAGUGGGACGCAAGGAAACACACUGUGCUUGCACACCGUGUUUUCUUGAGUCGCGAACGGGUGAGUAACGCGUAGGUAACCUGCCUAUUAGCGGGGGAUAACUAUUGGAAACGAUAGCUAAUACCGCAUAAUAUUAAUUAUUGCAUGAUAAUUGAUUGAAAGAUGCAAGCGCAUCACUAGUAGAUGGACCUGCGUUGCAUUAGCUAGUUGGUAAGGUAAGAGCUUACCAAGGCGACGAUACAUAGCCGACCUGAGAGGGUGAUCGGCCACACUGGGACUGAGACACGGCCCAGACUCCUACGGGAGGCAGCAGUAGGGAAUCUUCGGCAAUGGACGAAAGUCUGACCGAGCAACGCCGCGUGAGUGAAGAAGGUUUUCGGAUCGUAAAGCUCUGUUGUAAGUCAAGAACGUGUGUGAGAGUGGAAAGUUCACACAGUGACGGUAGCUUACCAGAAAGGGACGGCUAACUACGUG
rnacentral:rRNA from 1 species